GAAAAUCUGCCAAUGGGGAAAGAAUUUUUGAUUUUUUUUCCAAAGGGCCCGUUUUUGCAGAGCUGACCAGCAUGUGUGAUGGAAGCAGGUGCUGGUUGGUGCUGCGCACGAAGGAACCCUGGAUUCCUCGCAGGAUUAACACCCAGUUAUGAGGACAAAGCGGAUCUGCAGGGAACACGGCCACCGCAACUGGGACAGCAGUACAAACAUUUACCAGGACAGACCCCAAUGCUGCAAACAGACACAGCCCAGACUUCUGUUGAGGAGAAAUUCAGAUGAGUAUGUAUUCUGUCUGCGCCCAAAGCACAGGGAGAUGAAACUAAUUAACACAAACACCUUUGGGACUGUGCGUUUUUCUAAAAUGACUAUGAUAUCUUCUUAAGUAGACAAGAAAAUCUAAUUAAAACAUGAACAAAAUGGUCAAAUUAUUAAAAAGGCUUCAGAUUGACUGCCAUCCUACCCCUAGACCUAUCAUCUUGUCUGUGUAAGGGCAUCCUGAACCCUGUUUCUAUGGAAACCGCCUCUAAAGGAGGCGGGAAGAAAGGGACAGGAAGAGGUGCUGAAAUGGCAGAAUAGUCUUUGUGCUCGCAGCCACUUAGAGAGCCAAACGGCCCAGAGAGAGAACAGAGGGCGAAGCAGACACUCACAAAGACCUUCAACCUGAAACAGAAGAUGAAGAGGGGAAAGAAAGAAGCGUCGCCAGGGGCCACAGUUCCACUCUGACAGUCAAUUGGCUCACAUAGGGGAUCAGAAUUUUCUGAAUAAAUAUGUGUUGGAUCACUUUUUAUUCACAUUAAACACAAAAUUGUUGAAAAAUUAAACCCAAACUAAAAAAAAAACCCUAGAGGGCAUGAAACUGAAAGUCCUGUUCAGACAACAAACCCGCCGACGUUCACACCGUCUCACAAACAAGCCAUGAAAUCUCACUCUAUUUUGUGUCAGAAAAUUGGAUUGCUGCUCCAGCUAACUUGAUUACAAACAGCCUCUGCCUCACUCUGGGGCUGUGCCACUUAAUAAAGCUUAAGUGCAAAGGCACAUCAGUGUGUUCACACUCACACACACACAGAGUCACAUGCUAAACGCACACUAUGCAGAUCUGCACAUCAAAAUGUUUCAUGCAGGUUCCAUCCAGAUAGAAAAAUACGUCAACCAAAUGCUGUAGAUGUGGGAUCUUUGGAACAUUUACUAUAUUUGCACAAUUUGCUUAGCAAGACAAAGAAUAUGUGCAUAAUACACAGUUCAAAGUGUGCCUUAAGAAUAAUUAAAAAAUGCUUCAGAUGCCUAACAGAAGUUUUUGUUACAUUUUUUGUGAUUGUCACUAUUUAAAACCUGUUAUCAAACGCAUCUGAAAUUUGUUUACAUGUUGAUUACUGUCACCAAACCAUGAAUUGGCACCCAAGAUGUCAGUCUCAUUACUUGAUUUUUUUUAAUGAUGACUAAUGUUAAAAACAACAACUUUUAUGUCAUAUGAAAGAAUAUUUUUUAAUCAAAAUGCUAAAAUAAAAAUGAUCAUAUUUAUCCAUCAGUGUUUUACACUUCUUUAGGGUUUGAUCAGACCACAUUUCAUUUAAUUUGGAAUUACAUGAAAUAUUUUUUGUCUUUAACAAGGACAAAAAAGUUUACUUAUCUGAAAAUGAAAACGUUUCAAUAAAUUCUAUCUAAGAAAGAAGUUGAUCAUAAGAAAAAAAAAAAACACUUAAUAACAAACUUUGUUUUUAUUUCAGGCAUUGAACUCCCAUAAAGGAAAUGAGGACAGAAUGAAGCUCUUUGGCUCCAUCUAGUGUCGAGCUGUGGAACAUGAAGUACGGUUUGUCAGAAGGUCAUUCUUGAAGUAAAGCAGAGCGAAAACAAUUUCAUUUUCAGGCAUAAACCAAAAACAAAAGUUGGUUCAAUAAUCACAUUUAAGCUUUAAGAUGCUUAAAGUAUUUGUUUGAUUCUUUUAUUGUUCUCUUAUAAGAACUAGUAAAUUAUUUUUAGUGUGAUUAAAAAAAUAAAUAAAAAGCUUUUUAUAAUUUCCUAAGGCUUUUUGUGUCUAAAGUAUAAUUUUAAGAUUUCUGAUGAUAACAUGGUCAAAUAUUGGAUGCUGAUUAAACAACACACUAAACAGACAGAGCAGAGGCAACAAAUGAACUUAAUUAACCGCAAAUGGGUCACAUGACUACUUUAGAUCAAUAGAGUGGCUUUUUAGAUUGAGGAAUUUCUAAAAAUGAGUAGAUACAAAAAAGAGUAAUAUCAAAGUUAGAUGGCUUUUUCUCAGCUUAAGUCAGGAAUUUAAGAAAAAAUAUAAAUCUUGAAAUUAAAGAGGGGAUACACCAAAUAAAUGACAUUCAAGAAAAUUUGAGUUCUGUAAAUAUCCAAUUUGGACAAUAAAGUUUUUGUUCAACAGAGUAAAGUUUUAUAGUAAUAAAGACAUGAGGCACCUUUGACCAAAGUUUAAUGAUGAGGUGUGCUGAGGAUUUUUUAUUUUUUAUUAAAAAGAUAAGAAAAGAAAGGAAAUCCUCCUAACCGACGUACAAGAGUCUCGGUAAACACUGGCGGUCCUGCGGAUGUUUUACGCAUGAAUCAUUCAUCAUCUGAGGACCACAGCUUUGCCCACGGAGGACAAAAGACACAUUCCCGACACAUCCACGCCUCCACAUGCAAAGGUAACCCCAGGGGUCUACUGUGAGAAUCGGUUCGGGGUCUUUAAAGGACGUUUUUCCAGUCUCUGGAGAAAUUACGCGCGCGUUUUCAAUUCAACAGCGGGAGCUCUCCGUGGUAUUGAAUUGCGCCACGCAGGAGAAGUUUCUUCUUCGGUUCAUCUCGAGGAGAGAAAAAAAAGACAUUUGAGACUGUUUCCUUCUUGACUGC
ensembl:lncRNA